rnacentral:rRNA from 1 species
CCCCGGCCGUAAAACCCCCUAAUUUUUCAAGGUUGACCUCGGAUCAGGUAGGAAUACCCGCUGAACUUAAGCAUAUCAAUAAGCCGGGAGGAA